rnacentral:lncRNA from 1 species
CACAUACCAGUCAAUCUACUGAGCCGCAUAGUUACCCCCAAUAGUUGUCUAUGUUCUUUAGCAAUGAGUCAUUUUUGCUACUUCCAAAUUCACAUCCAAUAUAUCCGAUCAGUCAUUGAUUUACUUCUCUUCUAUUUCCAUAGUAUUUUUCACAUUGAUUCCCUACUUAGCAUUUCUACUACCAUCACCCCAGUUUAUCUCAUUACUCCAGGGUAUGUAAUCAGAAUAUAGUAGUUUCCUUACAAGUCUGUUUGCCUAUUGAAAUGGAUUGGUAUGAUAUAAUUUUAUGACAAAUGACCCAUACAACAUACUCAGCAUUAAUAAUGUUUCCUAAUUUUAUUCUAGUUAUUAUAGCAUAUAGUAGGACUAAUAUCUACCAAGAUUUUCCCACAAAAUGGGAUAGAUACUUGCUCCUUUCCUCUCAUGACAGGGAUUAAUUUUCCCUAAAAGGAGACAAUACAGUUCUAAUUAGCUAAUUCAUUUAUUUAUUUAUUUUUGUCAUAGCUGUGUGGUUCCCUAAAGGCAUGAAAAAUCCAAACAAUUUGCAGUUGCUACCCUUCUGAUUUGGACUUGUCAAAAUUACGGAAGUUGACAUGUUCUUCAUCCUAGCCUGUUGCCCAGGUGGUUUUCCAUGGAAAAAAGGGAGAUAUAUCCAGAAGAUUGUGGAUUCAAACAUCAACAGGAAAACAAUCUAUAUCCCCAAGAAACUCAAAUAUCACCUGAGUGAGUUGGUUGUUAAACCAAUAUUACUUAACAUACUUUAGAGAAAUCAUCUCCUGACAGGUUUCAGAAGAUAGCUCCUUCCAGGCCUGCUGACCUCCUUCCCUCUGUCAACCAGUCUCUCUUCAAAUUGAUGAUAUAAUCCACCAAUUUUCCAGAAUGUUCUGAAAUCUUCUGAACCAACUGUCACCAACAUCUCUCAGGAUUUUCUGAGGAAAAACCAAAACACCUACAAUUUCUGAGUGUCAAAACAUACAAAAAGACAUUUAUUUUGUCUCAGAUCCUCAGGGCUCUUAGAAAAUCUCUUAAAUAAUUUUCAUGGAAAUUCCAGCUACUUCUUAAGGUAACCUGUCCACAACCUUUCUCUCAACUGGAGAACUUAUACACAACCAUGUUAAUUAACCCAAUUUCCUAAUUAACUCUUAAUUAACUAACACAUAUUCCAUUACAAUCCUUUCCUAAAAACAACUG